rnacentral:sRNA from 1 species
AGUAAUUUAGUUCGUGAAAUUGAUUUGUAGAGUUAUUCUUUUGAAUUUACUCCUUUUGAUUUUUUAAGACAGAUUACAAAUAUUCGUGCAAAAGCACAUAUGGAGGAAUUUAAUUAUGAAUAACGGUACAGUUAAAUGGUUUAAUGCAGAAAAAGGUUUCGGUUUCAUCGAAGUUGAAGGCGGAAACGACGUAUUCGUACACUUCUCAGCAAUCGCUCAAGAAGGUUACAAAUCAUUAGAAGAAGGACAAGCUGUUGAAUUCGAAAUCGUUGAAGGCGACCGCGGUCCUCAAGCAGCUAACGUUGUUAAAUUAUAAUAACGGCUGAAAGACGAGUA